rnacentral:rRNA from 1 species
UACGUAGGGGGCUAGCGUUGUCCGGAAUCAUUGGGCGUAAAGCGCGUGUAGGCGGUCCGGUAAGUCUGCUGUGAAAGUCGGGGGCUCAACCCUCGGAAGCCGGUGGAUACUGCUGGGCUAGAGUGCGGAAGAGGCGAGUGGAAUUCCUGGUGUAGCGGUGAAAUGCGCAGAUAUCUGGAGGAACACCGGUGGCGAAGGCGACGUCCUGGACCGGCAUUGACGCUGAGGCGCGAAAGCCAGGGGAGCAAACGGG